UCAACGACGAAGAAAAUUCUUCUGACAUCUAUAGGUCAUCCGAUAACUUCGACAAUUGUUCAGUCAUAAAAGAACAAGUUACAACUAUCCAGGGUUCAAACUCUAAAGUUAAAUAUGUAAAUCGUCAGGGCACUAAUGUACAAAUUCAGACGAAUGAAGACCUAGUCAGAGGAACCAUAGAUGUUCAAGUUGAAAACGUAAUUGCAAGUCAGCAGGGCAGUAAUGUUCAAAUGCCAUUUAAGUCAAGUGCAGUCAGAGAGAACACAGAGCCUGUGACUGCCAGAGAUAGAUUGAAGCAGCACAAGUGGCCCAUACUUGCUUUUAUAUGCGGUGUAAUCCUGACACUAGGGAUAGUUGUCCCUCUGCUGGUAUCAAAAUCCUCGUCUUCGGAAAAGGACAGUCCUUACAGUUUUACUUUGAAAUUCGAUCGAAAAUCAACAUCUUCAUUGGUAUUCCUUUCGACAGACAAUAGAGUAUUAAGUAAUGUUUAUACCAGAGAGACACCGGAUUCAGUGAACCACGUGGUCCAAUAUGGGGUGCUCAUCUACACCGGCAUACAAGGAGAUAGAUGUUUCAAAUCAACAGACAAAAUAUAUUUCGAGAUUAAGUACACAUUUGCUAAUCUUUUUAACAUUCCUUUCGACUCAGAAGAACUACUUGCAUCAGUAGGUUUCGUCCAUGAAAGGGAAUCCUAUGAUUCCUUUAAUGAUGAUAUUUUAGAUGAUGACUCCAUUGCUAUAUGGUAUAUAUCUUUUCAUAUCUGCAAAUUGUCCAUUUGCAUGUCAUCUGAAAAUUUUGAACUACACAGUGAGAAAAACGUUAUCAAAACAAUCAGUUACAAUAAUACACCAAGGACUGUUGUUACUGGUAGACUUGGCUUUUUUGUUAAUAUGGAACAUAAAGAUUUUUCCGUAAUUGACAAAGAAACUAUGCAAAUAUUGGACCAACUUAUAGUAUUUGGUUCCCCCGAGAUCGUUUGUCCAAUAUUUGAAGUGGACAAUGAAAGCAAAGCUGAAGUACAAAUUGAAAUAUCGUAUUCAUACGAUUUUCAGAAUCUUCCUGUGUAUAAUGUAAUUGCUUGAUUUGUAAUCUAUGAUUUUUUUUUUAGUUUUGUCGCGUUCUAUGUACAUUCUUUAUUAUAACUCAGAAAAAAAUGUCACCUUUCAAUAUGUUCGGUAAAAGGAAAACAAUAUAUCUUCAAUUGAAAGCGAACGAAAGAAAUCCAUGAAUAGUAUUACCAAAAAAAAAAUGUUUCUUUUCAAAAGGGAUAAAGAUAUCAUAACAUGGACAAAAAUUCUACUAAAAUGUAUAUCACAUGAACGGUUGUAUUAUGUAAAUAUGAUUCUAACUGCAGAAAUCCAAUAAAAAUUUCACACCCUGA